CACUCUUAAGACAACUAGGGUUUCAAGUUAGGCUUCCAUUCACUGAACUAAAGUCGAGAAUCAUGCAAACUUACCGGGCAACCUUCGGAGGUACGAUUUGGAUUAAAGGCGACAUUUCUCAGGCUACAGAGGUGUAUUUCAAUGAGAAAACGCCAUUUCACCUCAAAAAGUUUCCAUCGUAUGAGGAACCAAAGAAGAUAGUGAAGGCUUUAAGGGAGAAUUGGCACCCCAACUUUGCCAACAUCUCCCUGAUUUUUCAGGUUGACGGUCAAAGUGGUUAUUUUUUAGCUUUCGAGAAGUUGGGGAAGAGUUUAGGAGAAGCAAUUAUUUUUCAGGGAUCAUUUAAUUUCUGAAAUGUAUCAACAGGUUUUAAUUGAAUUGCUUCGACUUUUUCGGCAUUUGCUAAAGCUCGAAGUGAAGGGCAAUCUUAGCAUACAAAAUAUUUUCAUUUCGGGUGGAGCUUCUUGUCAUAUUACCGUGAUUGAUUAUAGUGUUAGAGGUAAAGUACUUUUUUAACCACAAAUUAAUUUGGAGUUACUUGUAUUUUUUU